UACGUAGGGUGCAGGCGUUAAUCGGAAUUACUGGGCGUAAAGCGUGCGCAGGCGGUCUGCUAAGACAGGUGUGAAAUCCCCGGGCUUAACCUGGGAACUGCGUCUGGGACUGGUAUGCUAGAGUUCGGGAGAGGAGAGUGGAAUUCCCAGUGUAGAGGUGAAAUUCGUAGAUAUCGGGAGGAACACCAGUGGCGAAGGCGACUUCCUGGCCUGUUCUUGACGCUGAGGCGCGAAAGCUAGGGUAGCAAACGGG
rnacentral:rRNA from 1 species